rnacentral:snRNA from 1 species
CUGAGGGCGAUAUGGCUGUGACAUCUGUCAGCCCAUUGAUCUCCAGGGUUGAUUCGGCUGAUCUGUCUGGCUAGGUGGUGUCCCCUUCCUCCCUCAACAUUCCACGUGCAUCUCUCCCAAAGCUGCAUGCUCGAUUGAAGAGGACGACCUUCCCCGAUAGAGGAGGACCCGUCUCAGUCAAGGGUAUACGAGUAGCUGCACUCCCCUGCUAGAACCUCCAAACAAGUUCUCAAGGUUUAUCUCUUUUUUGUGAUUAGGGUCUUGGUAUACAGCCAUGACGGACCUAGCACUCACUAAUGUAGCCCAGGCUAGCAUGUACU